UGCAUGCCAGCUGACUUUCUGUCACCCACACUGACCCUCUCAAUACUGUAUGCUGAGCUCCACUAACUCCCAUACUGUGUAAUUGAUGGAGUGGAACAAACUUCACAGCAAGUUAAAUGCAGACUUUAUUCAAGCUCCAAGGGACUUGGAAAGACGUUCAGCCCAGUCAGCCCAGAUGAGCCCACCUCUGUGAGCCCCUUGAUUUGGAAUGGCGGCUUGUAUGUCUGUGUCAACAGGAAGCUCACUGCAUUGUGACUCAGGUAAGCCCUGGACCAAGCCACAAAGGUAGCAAGAUUGGUUUUCGGAGUUUCUCAUAGGCUGUUCUUCUUGCCUUCUGUCACACUCACUCCAUCAGGGCCUGUUCGCUGCCCAGAUGAGCCACACACAUCGGCUGGAUGAAAUGAAACUUGCCCUUCUUGUCCUACAUGUCUGUAUCUAAAAGUAUACAUUUUGGAAAGAGGCCUUAUUAAUCUAAAUACUUUUUAUUUUAAGGUUCCACAUUUUCCCAAAUGUAUGAGCCUCUAACCUAAGACAUGUCCAAAAGUUCUUUACUUACAGGGACAUGAUCUAGGGGCUUAGAGGGCCCUGGAAAAGUCAGAUAAUAUAUUUUAAAGACCCAAUUUUACACAAAAGAACAAAAAGAGGAAGAACUAUAGCAGAAUGCCACCGCUGUGGAUUCAGACUUCACCUCCCUGCCCACGGAGAUGAUUGAAGGGGAAAAAGGACAGAACAUGAAACUAACAAGCUUGAGGCCUUAUCAGUGUCUAUAUUGGCAAAUUGAGGAGCGAUGCACUCCCCAAGUUCCAGGAAGUGUUUACGAGUCAGCGCGUGAUUUCCUGUGCUCACGCCCAUGGCUGCCACAUCUGGGGAAGCAUGUGUUGACGUGGAGCUGCCACAAGAUCAGCACCUCCUGGAGUGAUGGGCUGCAGCCCCGAGAAGGUGGCCCUGGAGAGUUCUGGGAGCCAAAGCAAAAGUGGCAUGAACAAGAAAUACAUUUUGCUGUGCCACAUCAGCUGAAUGUUUUUCUACCAAUGCAUAAGAUCUACCAGCCACAGACAGGCACUGUUUUUAGAUGGUCUUGAGGCAUCUCAUUUUACAAAGGAUAUAGAAACAGACGGAUGCUAUAUAGAAACUGGUGGAGUGGGGUGGAAGAGAAGACAGAAGACAAGGGUUAUAAUUUAAUCAUAUAAACUCUGGAUGCAAUAACCAAGGUCUCCCCAGAAAGCUGUCAGUGUAUACUUGUGUGGUGAGUAGAUUUCUAAUCAGCUCUAGAAGGGUGGCCAAACACAGCUAAACUGUGUCUUUUAGUAGCAGGAAAAGCAUCUGCUAUAGUUUAGAUGUUUGUCCCCCAAACUCCAUAUUGAAAUUUGACCCCCAAUAUUGGAGGGGGGCCUAAGGGGAGGUGUUUGGAUCCUGAGGACAGAUCCCUCAUGAAUGUCUUGGUACUGUCCUGGCAGUGAAGAGUGAGUUCUCACACUAUCAGCUCCCUUGAGAAACUGGUUGUCAUAACAAGCCUGGCACUCCCCAUCCCCUCACCACGUGCUCUCUGCACACACGAGCUUCCAUUCACUUUUCAUCGUGUAUGGAACCAACCCGAGGACCUCAUUGGAAAGAGAGUGGAUGCUGGCACCAUGCUUCUUGUUCAGCCUGCAGAACUGGGAGACAACAUAAACCUCUUUCCUUUAUAACUUACCCAGACUUGAGUAUUUCUUUGUAGCAAUACAAACAGACAAAGCAUCUGACAAGCAAGUUGUUCAAUGAAGAGAUUGUUAGAGCCUGGGGAAGAGUCAUCAUGUUCAAUUGGUACAAGAUGCAAUUAACUAAUAUGAUUUGGGACAGCUGUCUCCAUUGAGGUCACCAGGGUGUCAUGGAGUGAAGCUUCAGGAGGAAGAGCUGACUACUUCCUACCCUGGGCUCCAUUUUUGUCAGGGCUCUACAGAGAGACAGAACCGACAAGAUAUAAAAAGAGGAAUAAAACAAAAAUCCAGAUAUUUCUAUAAAUCCGAUUAUUUGCCAAAUUAAAUGUGAAAGCUUGCCUCUAUCUCUUUCCAUUGUGUGCAGAUAUUUUGCACAGUGUGGAUUUGGUCUCUAGAUGUGAGUGUGCCCUGGACACAAUGCAUAGUAGACAGACAUUGUGCUUCGUUGUAGACACUGUGCUAGGCACGUAUUACACAUUGCCCCAAAUCCUUAUCACAAACACAUCAGGAGUAUGAUGGCCAAGGAGGAAGCUGUGGCUCAGGCCAUUGAAGCUGUAUAUCCAGGGAUCAACAGCCAGUAAGUGGGUGUGCUGACUCCCAAGGCCAAAGCCCACCUACUUGCCAGGUAACUUUCUAGGGAUAUGAAGGCAUUCUAUGUUAUGAUGGUGUGUGUUACAUGAGUGUAUCUGUCUACCAAAAGUGCGCUUCCAUGAUUUAUGCAAUCAGAUAUGGGAUAUAAUGGUAACUCAUGUUUUUACCCAAGGAUUUUUUUAUCACCAUAAAACAUCACUUCUACUCAGCUUUAUUCUAAUGAUUUGAGGCAGAGUUUAAAAAUCUGUCAAAAUUAAAUAUAUUUUUAACAAAGUGAAGACAUCUAGACAAACAGACAAUGGGGUAGGAAAGAUGGAGCUAAAACCAGGGCUGAGUUUCAUUCACAGAUGGCUCGAGGUCCUACUCAAUUACUAGAAAUGGGCUAAAUAUUCACCUCUAAGCUUUCCAAUAAGCAACACAGUAGGAACAAUAUCAACGCAAUAGGCCUCAGAGUCCAUGAGAAAUAAACUAAACAGUUGCUUAGGGAAAGCAGAGCUAUUUCUGGUAAGAAACUCAGAGAGAGUUUUCCUUUGAGUCUUCAUAAAGAAGACACUCUUUGAUGUAAGGCGCAGCAUUAACUACAUUCUUAUACAAGUUUUAAAGGCUAAAUCUCAUAAAAUCGUUUAAUAUAGGCCAUAACACCAAGCAGCAAAAAUAGAGAACUAGAGGAUGGGGAGAUGGAAUUUGCUGUGUUUGGAAACUAAUACGAUUAUUGGUUUUCUGUGUUCUCACUUAAUCCAGGGUUUUAAGGAAUCUAGAGGAAAAUCAGGAUUGAUGUUUUUCAUUAGUGCGUUUUCUUACAACUAAAGCUCUUGAACGCUCUGGGUGGUGGGGAGUUUGGGUUGCACUUGGCUUGUGAUGAGUUUCCCAGGGAGCCAUGCACUUCUCAGCUGGACCACCUGAGCACACCACCAGGAAAAGCUUUUGGGUAACCCCGGAGGCAGGAAAAUUUCCUAUGGGUGCUUUAUUCAGCUGUAGUCCUAUAAUCAGCCUUUCACAUAAUUUGAUAGAACUGACCAAUGUGAAAUGAAACUGUUAAUAAGAUCCCAAACUCUCCAGAGAAGAGGACUCUCUAUGGCUAGUAGAAACACCCAAAUUAAAAUAAUGGAAACCCAAUGGCCAUAGUUAGAGAAGGGUGGUCACGUGCCUUUUGUUUCUGAAGAGGGCAGUUCCAAACAAAUAUGCUGUCUGUGCCUCUGAGCUAAGACAGUUCUUGUAAAGGGAGCUGAGGCACCAUGGCUGGAAAUCUCCAACCAGCCUGAAAGGGCAUCCAAUAGACACUUAUGGUUUGGGGUUUAGAAAGUAACCCCAAACAGUCAGGACUGUUAUUUUCAACCAAUCAGAAUUGAAUGUGUUCAAAUCAUUCAUUUACAUAUACAGACCUGAUUGAAGACUGUGACAGGAAUUUUCCUUAUUUAAGCCAGACCCUUUCUUUGUUCUCCAGAAUGUGCUUUUGUUUUCCACCAAAGCCUGUGUCUUCCCGAUACCUAGAUUGUUUUCUAUUUAAUAAAAAAUAAAGUUCUCAACUUUUCC
rnacentral:lncRNA from 1 species